rnacentral:rRNA from 1 species
UAGCGUAGGGUGCGAGCGUUGUCCGGAAUUAUUGGGCGUAAAGGGCUCGUAGGCGGUUUGUCGCGUCGGGAGUGAAAUCCACUGGCUUAACUGGUGGCUUGCUUUCGAUACGGGCAGACUGGAGGUAUGCAGGGGAGAACGGAAUUCCUGGUGUAGCGGUGAAAUGCGCAGAUAUCAGGAGGAACACCGGUGGCGAAGGCGGUUCUCUGGGCAUGUCCUGACGCUGAGGAGCGAAAGUGUGGGGAGCGAACAGG